rnacentral:lncRNA from 1 species
AAGAUGUCAGGAGAACCGCAGGGGCUGCUGGGCUCUGGACCACCUUGGACCACGAAUUUUCAGUAGCCAGGAGCUGUCUCAANCUGCCUCAAGCCAGCCUGGCAAGAUCCUAUGUUCCACGAUAAAUGUCCCGCCCAGUCCUGAGGAGCCACCGGCUAGAGAAUUGAUCCCUCAGCCUGGGCUGGCCAAGGGUGCCUGGGACUUUCUGUACUGGCUCAGCACUGGCCAAUCUAUCCUCUCUUCCUGCCACCUCUCAAUCACUGGCAUCCACGUACAUCUGUGCUGUCACAGGGGAAGCUGAGCCACCAGCAAGAAUUGCCUGGUCCUAUGCCUAAGGACUCAAGACUUCUCCCUUAGCCCCUGACCAGCUGGACUNCUGUCUGCUCUCACCUUGAGGACCCCACCCUGGAUCAAGGUCAUCCCUUCAAUGGCAGAAAUGGCACCAUGACUUNAAGACCUGUGGAAGCUAAUGCUCUUGAG